rnacentral:rRNA from 1 species
AGGGUUUGAUCAUGGCUCAGAACGUACGCUGGCGGCACGCCUAACACAUGCAAGUCGAACGAAGUAGCAAUACUUAGUGGCAGACGGGUGAGUAACAUGUGGGUAUCUGCCCUUUGGCCUGGAAUAACACGAGGAAACUUGUGCUAAUACCGGAUAAGUCUUUACGGAGAAAGCUUUAUGCACCAUUGGAUGAGCCUGCACUUGAUUAGUUUGUUGGUGGGGUAAUGGCCUACCAAGACUGUGAUCAAUAGCUGAUUUGAGAGGAUGAUCAGCCACAUUGGGACUGAGACACGGCCCAAACUCCUACGGGAGGCAGCAGUGGGGAAUCUUGCACAAUGGAGGAAACUCUGAUGCAGCGAUGCCGCGUGAGUGAAGAAGGCCUUUGGGUUGUAAAGCUCUUUCGUCGGGGAAGAAAAUGACUGUACCCGAAUAAGAAGGUCCGGCUAACUUCGUGCCAGCAGCCGCGGUAAUACGAAGGGACCUAGCGUAGUUCGGAAUUACUGGGCUUAAAGAGUUCGUAGGUGGUUGAAAAAGUUGGUGGUGAAAUCCCAGAGCUUAACUCUGGAACUGCCAUCAAAACUUUUCAGCUAGAGUAUGAUAGAGGAAAGCAGAAUUUCUAGUGUAGAGGUGAAAUUCGUAGAUAUUAGAAAGAAUACCAAUUGCGAAGGCAGCUUUCUGGAUCAUUACUGACACUGAGGAACGAAAGCAUGGGUAGCGAAGAGGAUUAGAUACCCUCGUAGUCCAUGCCGUAAACGAUGUGUGUUAGACGUUGGAAAUUUAUUUUCAGUGUCGCAGCGAAAGCGAUAAACACACCGCCUGGGGAGUACGACCGCAAGGUUAAAACUCAAAUGAAUUGACGGGGACCCGCACAAGUAGUGGAGCAUGUGGUUUAAUUCGAAGAUACGCGCAGAACCUUACCAACACUUGACAUGUUCGUCGCGACUUUAAGAGAUUAAAGUUUUCGGUUCGGCCGGACGAAACACAGGUGCUGCAUGGCUGUCGUCAGCUCGUGUCGUGAGAUGUUGGGUUAAGUCCCGCAACGAGCGCAACCCUCACUUUUAGUUGCCAUCAUUAAGUUGGGCACUCUGAAAGAACUGCCAGUGAUAAGCUGGAGGAAGGUGGGGAUGACGUCAAGUCCUCAUGGCCCUUACGUGUUGGGCUACACACGUGCUACAAUGAUAUCUACAACAGGAAGCAAGACUGCGAAGUUAAGCAAAUCCUUAAAAGAUAUCUCAGUUCGGAUUGCACUCUGCAACUCGAGUGCAUGAAGCUGGAAUUACUAGUAAUCGUGGAUCAGCGUGCCACGGUGAAUGCGUUCCCGGGUCUUGUACACACCGCCCGUCACACCAUGGGAGUUGGUUCUACCUUAAGGCAAGGUUUAAAACCCUUGACCACGGUAUAGUCAGCGACUGGGGUGAAGUCAUAACAAGGUAACCGUA